UACGAAGGGGGCUAGCGUUGUUCGGAUUUACUGGGCGUAAAGCGCACGUAGGCGGAUUGUUAAGUCGGGGGGUGAAAUCCUGGAGCUCAACUCCAGAAUUGCCUUCGAUACUGGCUUUCUAGAGGCUGGAAGAGGUUAGUGGAAUUCCCAGUGUAGAGGUGAAAUUCGUAGAUAUUGGGAGGAACACCGGUGGCGAAGGCGGCUACCUGGACCGGUUCUGACGCUGAUGCGCGAAAGCGUGGGGAGCAAACAGG
rnacentral:rRNA from 1 species